UGAAGACGUAUAUCAAAGAGAUUUAUGAAGAUAGAAUGCAAUAGAGUAUAUGGAAGUGAUUAGAGCAAUGGUCAACAAUGGUCAAGACCAGAGAAAGAUUCAGUGGAAACACAAAAAUAUAAUUACAUAUGAAUUUGACUACUACACCAUGUGGUUCCAGUGGGGAAAAUGAUAACACAACUCUGGUUUCAUGUGUUAACAUUGGGACUGAGCAACUGAGAGGUGACUCACUUGAAA